UUUUUCCUCCCCCCCCUCCUUAAUUUUUUUUUUUUAUUUGUUUGUGCUUACAAAAAAAAUUUGCGGGGGGGGGGGGCCCCCCCCCUUUAAUAACCAACAAAAUAUGGAAAAAAAGAGAGAAAAAAAUUUUGGGGGGGGGGGGGGGGGGGGGAAAAAUUGGGGUUUUUUUCCCUUUUGCCCCGGGAAAAAACCGGGGGAAAAUUUUGUUUUAUCCCAAAAAAAUUUUUUUGGGGAAAAAUUUUUUCGCACCAUGGGAGGGCCCGCCCUUUGAUUAUUUUUUUGGGGGGGUAAGGGCUACCCAGCCAAAUGAUCAUAAGUUGAUUGGAGAGGAGGUCAGCCCCCUUGGGGAUUGAGACCCCGCCCCAAAUUCUAUCGGAAGCCAGCAUUAAGGAAUCUUGCCCAUGGAGGAAACUCUGAUGCAGCGAUGCCGCUUGAGUGAAGAAGGCUUUUGGGUGUAAAGCUCUUUCGUCGGGGAAGAAAAUGACUGUACCCGAUAGAAAAGUUCCGCCUAAUUUCGUGCCAGCAGCCGCGGUAAUACGAAGGGACCUAGCGUAGUUCGGAAUUACUGGGCUUAAAGAGUUCGUAGGUGGUUAAAAAAGUUGGUGGUGAAAUCCCAGAGCUUAACUCUGGAACUGCCAUCAAAACUUUUUAGCUAGAGUAUGAUAGAGGAAAGCAGAAUUUCUAGUGUAGAGGUGAAAUUCGUAGAUAUUAGAAAGAAUACCGAUUGCGAAGGCAGCUUUCUGGAUCAUUACUGACACUGAGGAACGAAAGCAUGGGUAGCGAAGAGGAUUAGAUACCCUCGUAGUCCAUGCCGUAAACGAUGUGUGUUAGACGUUGGAAAUUUAUUUUCAGUGUCGCAGCGAAAGCGAUAAACACACCGCCUGGGGAGUACGACCGCAAGGUUAAAACUCAAAUGAAUUGACGGGGACCCGCACAAGUAGUGGAGCAUGUGGUUUAAUUCGAAGAUACGCGCAGAACCUUACCAACACUUGACAUGUUCGUCGCGACUCUAAGAGAUUAGAGUUUUCGGUUCGGCCGGACGAAACACAGGUGCUGCAUGGCUGUCGUCAGCUCGUGUCGUGAGAUGUUGGGUUAAGUCCCGCAACGAGCGCAACCCUUACUUUUAGUUGCCAUCAUUUAGUUGGGCACUCUGAAAGAACUGCCAGUGAUAAGCUGGAGGAAGGUGGGGAUGACGUCAAGUCCUCAUGGCCCUUACGUGUUGGGCUACACACGUGCUACAAUGGUAUCUACAACAGGAAGCAAAAUGGCAACAUUAAGCAAAUCCCAAAAAGAUACCUCAGUUCGGAUUGCACUCUGCAACUCGAGUGCAUGAAGCUGGAAUUACUAGUAAUCGGGAUCAGCGUGCCCAUCUGUAUCGCCCCC
rnacentral:rRNA from 1 species